AAGAUUUUGCGACGUGAACUUGCGCCAUUAAACAUAAAAAACUUUUAGUAACGUGGUAUGGUGUCACUCAUGUUCGAUUUUUCCCUUCAUCCUUCACUCCUCCCAUAUGCAAGUUUUCUCUCGCCCUUCCCUCUUGAUACCUCUACCUCUCUCAAUAGCAGGUUCAAGUUUGGUGUGUGAUGCUAAAUUUUGAUUCUAAGGGAUUUGGAAGAAGAUAGAAAGAUUACAUUGGACAUUGGACAUAUUUUGCUGCAUUUUCUAAGAAAAUAUGAAGACAAUUAUAGCCAUGAUCAAUCACGUUGUUGGGGGCUAAAGGAGUCAUGAGCUAGGAAUGCAAGGUUGUUGUUCAACGAUAUGGGUAAACUAAUGUGGAUUUGUUUUUAUCCGAGGCAAGUUAAUCUUAGUUUUAUUUUUAUGUUUAUGGCCUCCAUUGAGAGGCUUAUGGUUUCUACUGAUUUUUUUUUUUAGUUCAUGAGACUUACAAAAAGUUUUUGGGAUAAUCUGUCUUUGAUUUUGAUAUUGAAACAUGUGACUUAUAAAUAGUUUUGUUAAUAAGUUUUUGUUCAUAGUUUCAUGUUCUUAGCUAUUGUCUUUGGUUGACAAGUGGAGAAAGUACAUUGAUAACUUGUAGAAAUACAAGCUACUGUAGAAUUAUACUUAGAAUUAUGAGGGUUAAUAAGUAGAAUAUGUGUCAAUAAUACUAAGAAUUCAUAUGGAAAAGUGAGCUUGCGUCAACCAGCAUCGAAAAUUCUCACUAACCCUAUAUCAUGCAUUAUUCUACAUCAAAGUGUCUAUUUUUGCAGCUAAUGCAGGAAUUAAUCAUAUGCGUUGAUCCCAGACUGCUGCAAGGUUGACCGCAUGUAUUGAUCUUCAUGAAGACUAAUUCGUCACAUGGAAUGCUGCAUCCACAAAAUGAUAAUCGUGAUAGAAGGUUGAUUGUAAGGUGGGUGGAAUGCGUUGACAUUUCAGGACAAACGAGCAUGAACGCAUACCUCGGGAGUAUCAACAAGAUAAGGUGAUGUUGACAUUUCUCAUACCGCGACAGAAGUAGCAGUGAGUCAGAAUGGGAUGAUCAAUGCUGUCGGCAUUUGAACUUUAUAAAUGGAGCCUUGGAGCUUAACUUCAAACCAUCUGAAUUUCUGUUUUAGGCAGAUUCUUGUGAUCAUAGAUGAGAGCAUGAGCAAGACCUUCUUUCAGAAUUUUUCACUUCUACAAGCCCUUCCGAGUGACGACUGAAGCUUCGUCGGAGAUAUAGCUCGAGAGAGACGUCUUUACCACUCAUCUAUGGCACCACCGAUAGCCUUGACACACUUCGGAUGGAAAACAAGAGAUUGCUUACAUCUAACUCCCAACCUCUCCUCUUAUCUCUGCAUUGUAUUAUAUUUUUGCUUAAGACAUUAAUACAUUUUGUA